GAUGAAGAACGCAGCGAAAUGCGAUAAGUAAUGUGAAUUGCAGAAUCCAGUGAAUCAUCGAAUCUUUGAACGCACAUUGCGCCCGCCAGCAUUCUGGCGGGCAUGCCUGUUCGAGCGUCAUUUCAACCCUCGACCUCCCUUUGGGGAAGUCGGCGUUGGGGACCGGCAGCACACCGCCGGCCCUGAAAUGGAGUGGCGGCCCGUCCGCGGCGACCUCUGCGUAGUAAUCCAACUCGCACCGGAACCCCGACGCGGCCACGCCGUAAAACACCCAACUUCUGAACGUUGACCUCGAAUCAGGUAGGACUACCCGCUGAACUUAAGCAUAUCAAUAAGCGGAUGA
rnacentral:misc_RNA from 1 species